ACCUGGGUGGCUUAGUCAGUUGGGCAUCUGACUUCGGCUCAGGUCAUGAUCUCACGUUUCGUGGGUUCGAGCCCCACAUCGGGCU
rnacentral:tRNA from 1 species